UACGUAGGGGGCAAGCGUUGUCCGGAAUUAUUGGGCGUAAAGCGCGCGCAGGCGGUAUGGAAAGUCAGGUGUGAAAACUCGGGGCUCACCCCCGAGCCUGCAUUUGAAACUUCCAUACUUGAGAGCAGGAGAGGGGAGUGGAAUUCCUAGUGUAGCGGUGAAAUGCGUAGAUAUUAGGAGGAACACCAGUGGCGAAGGCGACUCCCUGGCCUGCAACUGACGCUGAGGCGCGAAAGCGUGGGGAGCAAACAGG
rnacentral:rRNA from 1 species